UACACUCCUACGGGAGGCAGCAGUGGGGAAUCUUGCGCAAUGGGCGAAAGCCUGACGCAGCCAUGCCGCGUGAAUGAUGAAGGUCUUAGGAUUGUAAAAUUCUUUCACCGGGGACGAUAAUGACGGUACCCGGAGAAGAAGCCCCGGCUAACUUCGUGCCAGCAGCCGCGGUAAUACGAAGGGGGCUAGCGUUGCUCGGAAUUACUGGGCGUAAAGGGAGCGUAGGCGGACAUUUAAGUCAGGGGUGAAAUCCCGGGGCUCAACCUCGGAAUUGCCUUUGAUACUGGGUGUCUUGAGUAUGAGAGAGGUGUGUGGAACUCCGAGUGUAGAGGUGAAAUUCGUAGAUAUUCGGAAGAACACCAGUGGCGAAGGCGACACACUGGCUCAUUACUGACGCUGAGGCUCGAAAGCGUGGGGAGCAAACAGGAUUAGAAACCCUUGUAGUCCCAUGA
rnacentral:rRNA from 1 species